CUGGUUCAGGUCAGGAUCUCACCGCUGGUGAGUUCAAAUCCCCACAUCAGGCUCUGUGCUGACAGCUUGGAGUCUGCUUCAGGUUCUGUCUCCCUCUCUCUCUGCCCCUCUUCUGCUUGCACUCAGUUUCUUUCUCUCUCUCUCCAAUAUAAAUAAACAUUAAAAAUUUCUUUAAAAGCCUUUGGCUUCUCAUUCUGAAAGAGUGUGAUCAACAUUUAUAAAUGUAAGGGUUAGGUUAAAGAGAAGCAUGGGAUAACCAUGACCUUGGGUGGAACCAAUUUCAACUAAUGUCCAGAGAUGAGAUUUGAUUGGACUCUUGCUAUAGUCAUUCUUUGAAGUUAUCCAGACCUAAGUCAAUCAGCAUCUUGCAUUGCUUUAUCUAUAGUGAUUAGUUUCGGGGUUGUCCAAUCAUGAGGCCACUUGAGAUUUUCUUGGGAAUUCUGUGUCAUGAGUGCUCUUUCUCCUGGACUGUAAUGUGCUGAUGUAGGGCCUGUCAAUGCAGCAGCUAUUUUGUGACCUCAGAGAUGCCAGCCUGAGGACAACGCUGAAUAUGACAGAAAAUUUCAGAGAAAUAAUUGAACCCAAAUCAAACCAUCUCAAAAGCCCAUUUUAUUUUUGACCCAAGUAUGACUUAAGUCACUAAAUACUUUUAUUUGUUUAAACUAGUUUGAGUUGGGUUUUCUGUUCAAUAAAAGCAUCCUAAAUGAUAAAUCUAUCUGAUAAUUCUAAGAGUUUGAAAGAUCUUGAAACUUAAAAGAGGUAGUGUUGGAUUAAAGAAUGAUUAGAAUACUAGAAAAUUCACAUCUGGAAACUGUAACUCCAAAAAAAUUAUUAUAAUUACAUGCACAGAGAAGGCAAUGAUGUUUUAGAUCAGCAUUCUUGUUUUAAGGACUGCAGUCACCGAAUAACCUUCAAAAUAUUCCCGACCCCUGUGAAAUUCCACACAGAUUUUUAUGUGUAUGCUUACAUGUUUAUUUCACUGAAGAGAAGAUCCAUAGAUUUUAUUGGAUUCUCAAAGAGAUCUGUGACUUCCAAAAAAGGGUAAGACCUUACUCUGAUGAAGAUCAUCUUAUGGCUGACUUUUGAUAUUCAUAUCAGAUAAACAGUAAGCAUACUAUUGGAGUUCUCCUGUCUAUGGGAAGGACAGGGAAGUUACGUUCAGGGAAUAUUAGAAGUUUUACAUUGCUUUUGUAAUAUCUAACCAAUCCCGUUUGUUGAACAAAUAUAUUGUACUGUGUUGGAUGCUCUGGAUGUAACAUGUUGGUGCAUGAGAUCGAACACCCAUCCUUGUAAUUUGGGAAGGAAGAUGGGGACAAAGCACUAUAUGACCUCAGAGCAAGAGCUAAUAGUAGUUAACUAACACCCACAUUCUUACUUGACAUCAAUGUAAAAUUUGAAUGCUUUUAUAAUAUGAUUAUCUAGAUGUUUUGAGCAGAUGUUAGUUGUCAGAUGUUGUACUGGGGGCUCUGUCCUUGUUUUUUUAUUUCAUCCUCAUGGUAAUCCUUAGCUGUUGACAGUUAUUAUUUAUUUUUUGUAGAUAUGAAACUGAAGGAUCAGAGACAUCAAGAUGCUGCUUAUUAGUAGAGUUUCAAAUUCAGGAUUCUUUAUUCAGUUGACAUACUAGAGGAGAGACAUCAUGUGGUUGAAAUCACAUCUCACUCACCAACAUCAGACAUUUCAGGAACAGUGGCCGUGUAAACAUCCUUGAGAAACUGAGGUCAGAGAGGUUAAGGAACUUACCCAAAGUUAAGGACAUGGCAAGGAAGGAUACCAAGAUCUGCCUGACUCCAGUGUCUGUGCUAAUUCACACCAGAGCAUGCUGCCAAACGGCACUCCCCAUGAUGAUUACAAACGUUUCUGGAUUCAUUGUAUUUAUUAUAUUGGACCCCAGGCUAAGUUAUUUGUAAAUUCUAUUGGCACAAAUGAUACAAACUGUAAUAUGUGUUAUUGUUCAUUUGGGAUUUAUCAAUUAAACAAAUGCCUUUUGGUUUAUUCACUGCAUGAAGUUAUUUCCCCAAAAAGGCAUUGUUUACUGCCUUUGGCUUGGCUCUGGAUGUCCAAGGUCUUUGGCAGACUGGGACAUUAGUCUCAGCUCCUGCUUAGUCUAACAUUUUCAUUUUCAAAAAGCCAGUGGUAAAUCAAGCUGAGAGCCAGAUACCCAGUCAAAAAUUGAUUUAGUAAGGCACCGCAACUCACCAGUUACAAUCAUACCUUUUUGCCUUACGGUGCAAUCUUUUUAGUAAUUGCCAAAUCUAAGGACACAUGCGCAUGCACACACACACACACACACACACACACACACACGUUCCUAGUGCCCCUCUCUUAUUUUCCCUCUCACUCCAACACAUACACUUUGGAGGAAAAUAUUAAUACAUAAAUGCAGGCAUUUGAGACAUGAUGACUCAAAUGGCAGACAUUUUUAAAAUUAUGUUUCUCAGUAGCCAAUGGACUUUUCCCAAAAUGUGUUUCUCUUCAAAGGUAAAAAAUAUAUUGGAUAUAAUAUUCUUAUAUUGACUCCUAGGAUCUAAAAAGUUAAAGUUAUAUCUUUAUAAAACAGAUAGUUUGCUUGAGAGAGGGACUAUUUUUCUGUUCAAAUUCUUAACUCUCAAGAAUCCUGUAUGUACUCAAUAAAUAAAAGACUAAACUGAAUUCCAUAACCUGCUCAUAUAACUCAGGUGAGUGAUUCCAGGAGAGGAAAUUAUGAGCUCAUUUGUUUAUUAUUUUUCUUGGAUGGGAACAACCUUAUAAGUUAUGAUUUGAACACUUUUU